GUUUCCAGAGACUAGUUUCAUUCAUUGAAGUAGGCAUCAGCAUGUGGACACGAGGUCUUUCUCCAGGUCUGACUGAGGGAGAAGAGACAGAAGUAUAGGGACACAUUGUGGUUGUUCAGGAUGUCUUGACGUAUUGAGAUACGCUUUUUUUUCAUCAAGGACAGGACUGUUUGGAAAUCCAACAAGCUUGAAUUCUCUGGUACAAUUUCACAGUGAGUGAAUGUGAAUGAAUCCGCAUUUCCCUCACAGUGUACUCAUACCCUAAGUCUCUAGAUUACUGAAUGAAGCUUUCUCUCCAUUUGGCUGAUGAAGGAGCUGCUGGGGCAACAGAAGACCAUCAGGCAUACAGCUGGUGCAGAGCGGGCCUUUUCUGGAUAUGGAGGAUAGGCCAAACGUCAUGAGCAUCACCUCACAAAGCAGAUAGAAGCCUUCCCCCCCAUUCUCAUAUUUUCAUCAUUAAUUGA